rnacentral:rRNA from 1 species
UACGGAGGGUGCAAGCGUUAUCCGGAUUCACUGGGUUUAAAGGGUGCGUAGGCGGCGCGGUAAGUCGGGUGUGAAAUCUCGGAGCUUAACUCCGAAACUGCAUUCGAUACUGCCGUGCUUGAGGACUGGAGAGGAGACUGGAAUUUACGGUGUAUCGGUGAAAUGCGUAGAUAUCGUAAGGAAGACCAGUGGCGAAGGCGGGUCUCUGGACAGUUCCUGACGCUGAGGCACGAAGGCCAGGGGAGCAAACGGG